UCUGGCCGUACCACCCUGAACACGCUCGAUCUCGUCUGAUUGCAAAAGCUAAGCAGAGUAAGGCUUAGUUAGUACUUGGGUGGGAGAAAACUGCUUUUAAAAUGUAUAUACAUCCAGUA
rnacentral:rRNA from 1 species